CCGCAACGAGCGCAACCCUUAUCCUUUGUUGCCAGCGGUUAGGCCGGGAACUCAAAGGAGACUGCCAGUGAUAAACUGGAGGAAGGUGGGGAUGACGUCAAGUCAUCAUGGCCCUUACGAGUAGGGCUACACACGUGCUACAAUGGCGCAUACAAAGAGAAGCGACCUCGCGAGAGCAAGCGGACCUCAUAAAGUGCGUCGUAGUCCGGAUUGGAGUCUGCAACUCGACUCCAUGAAGUCGGAAUCGCUAGUAAUCGUAGAUCAGAAUGCUACGGUGAAUACGUU
rnacentral:rRNA from 1 species